rnacentral:rRNA from 1 species
UACGGAGGGUGCAAGCGUUAAUCGGAAUUACUGGGCGUAAAGCGUGCGUAGGCGGUAAGUUAAGUCUGCUGUGAAAUCCCUGGGCUCAACCUGGGAAUGGCGGUGGAUACUGGCUUGCUGGAGUACGGUAGAGGAAGGUGGAAUUCCCGGUGUAGCGGUGAAAUGCGUAGAGAUCGGGAGGAACAUCAGUGGCGAAGGCGACCUUCUGGACCAGUACUGACGCUGAGGCACGAAAGCGUGGGGAGCAAACAGGGAUUAGAUACCCUGGUAGUCCACGCCCUAAACGAUGCGAACUGGAGGUUGGGUGCAACUUGGCACGCAGUCUCGAAGCUAACGCGUUAAGUUCGCCGCCUGGGGAGUACGGUCGCAAGACUGAAACUC